rnacentral:rRNA from 1 species
GUGAGGAAUAUUGCACAAUGGGCGAAAGCCUGAUGCAGCAACGCCGCGUGAGGGACGAAGGCCUUCGGGUUGUAAACCUCUUUUCUGAGAGACGAGACAAGGACGGUACCUCAGGAAUAAGUCUCGGCUAACUACGUGCCAGCAGCCGCGGUAAGACGUAGGAGGCGAGCGUUAUCCGGAUUUACUGGGCGUAAAGCGCACGCAGGCGGCUUCGUUAGUCGGAUGUGAAAGCUCCUGGCUUAACCGGGAGAGGCCAUUCGAUACUGCGAGGCUUGAGGUUGGGAGAGGGGUGUGGAAUUCCCGGUGUAGUGGUGGAAUGCGUAGAUAUCGGGAGGAACACCUGUGGCGAAAGCGGCACCCUGGCCCACACCUGACGCUGAGGUGCGAAAGCGUGGGUAGCAAACAGGAUUAGAUACCCCAGUAGUCC